UAGCUCUAGCCACGAGUAGGGGGAGGGGGGAGAGGGGAGAGGAGUAUGGCAGUUGCCGCCUCAACCAAAAGGAGGGCGCAUUUUGCAAAAAGAGAUGCAAAAAACCUAGAGAACAUGCCAGAGGUCACCUCAAGGGCACAAGGCACAAAAAAAGAAAGCGGAAGGAAUUGGUU